rnacentral:rRNA from 1 species
CCUACGGGAGGCAGCAGUCGAGAAUUUUUCUCAAUGGGCGAAAGCCUGAAGGAGCGACGCCGCGUGGGGGAUGAAGGUCUUCGGAUUGUAAACCCCUGUCACUUGGGACCAAACCUUCUGAUCUAACACAUCAGGAGCUGAUUGUACCAGGAGAGGAAGACGUGGCUAACUCUGUGCCAGCAGCCGCGGUAAU